GGCUAUGUAAACUCAUUCCGUACUAUCACGACUUUUGAGCCAAGGCCGCAAACUUCUCAACGAGUCUAGUGAAACAGAUAGUUUCCCACUGUUAGCCUCGUUUUAGCGCAGUUACACACAUGCAGGACAGCAGAAUUGUUAUCGGACUGACCCGUUAAAAAGAUAAUCUGGGAAACCCUCCUAAUGGACCUUUCUAUAGGAUAUGCAACAUUAAGCCAUCUGCAUCCCGGGGAUAAAGGAUAUGGAACCGCCUUCAUUAGAAAGGAAUUCCGAAGAGCAACGGAUGGACACAGACUUUUACGAGAUAUCUAUAUGUAAACUGUAUAUAUUUUUUAUGCUAAAAUGUACACCCGAAAUCGAAAAUCAUACAACCCUGGAGGACAUAAUCGAAACGGAAGGGGGGUACCCCCGGAACAUGAAGAGUAAAACAUUGAAUUCGGACGAUUUCCCCGCUUCAAAGGACAUUUCGGAGGUCUCUGAUUUGCGGUUGUUUGUGAUGGGCAGAAAACAGGUUAAGGAAAACUCCGAGACUGAAACAACAUUCAGUCAUGCUAUUCUAAAACAGGAAGACAACGAUUUUUACAGAUAUUCAGAAACAGAAGGACAAUAAUUAUCAUUAUAAUUUGUUUUUUAAAUAUAUUUUUUAGGCCAUAUGUUAAAUGGACGUAUUCUUAUAAGUUAAAAUGUAUCUAUUUCGUAUAAAUACAGGUUAACAUUAUCUAACGUUUGUAUGAUACCCAGAGGCUACAGGGCAUAAUGGAUUGGGAACCGACAGAGUUAGACGGGGAUUCUCAGAAGCAAACUGCGUCAGGUCCUUUACGUGGCCCAUUCACUAAUACACUAUUUUCGGCGUAAGUCCCCCCACCCGACUACGGAAGAGCAGAUGAAACAGAGACAAUUCUGCGGGCUUGUACUGAAGGCCUUAACCUAACUCCAAACACAAGCAAGCACCCCAGGACAGAUAAAACGAUAGACGGUGAAUCUUUCCUUCCUCAUGGAACUUUUUUGAAGGGGUGUUGAAUAUUAGAGGUUAUGUUUGUAUAUAUAUAUAUAUAUAUAUAUAUAUAUAUAUAUAUUAUCUAAGAAUGAUUGGUAUUAAUUCUAGGCAUUUACAGGUAUGUUUU